rnacentral:rRNA from 1 species
UGGCGGACGGGUGAGUAAUGUCUGGGAAACUGCCUGAUGGAGGGGGAUAACUACUGGAAACGGUAGCUAAUACCGCAUAACGUCGCAAGACCAAAGAGGGGGACCUUAGGGCCUCUUGCCACCGGAUGUGCCCAGAUGGGAUUAGCUAGUAGGUGGGGUAACGGCUCACCUAGGCGACGAUCCCUAGCUGGUCUGAGAGGAUGACCAGCCACACUGGAACUGAGACACGGUCCAG